GGAGAGGUGGCCGAGUGGUUUAAGGCGCACGCUUGGAAAGCGUGUAAGGUUAAUAGCUUUCGCAGGUUCGAAUCCUGUUCUCUCCGCAA
rnacentral:tRNA from 1 species